GCCUUGAUGGUGAAAUGGUAGACACGCGAGACUCAAAAUCUCGUGCUAAGAAGCGUGGAGGUUCGAGUCCUCUUCAAGGCA
rnacentral:tRNA from 1 species